AUGUUGGACAGCUGGCUUAAACCUGGACUCUCUCUUUCUAGAGAAGCAGAGCCUGUUGAGGAUGAGAGUCCACUGAGGGAGGAGAAUGCAGAGGAGGAGGAGGAGGAGGAAGAGGAGGUGGAGGAGGAGGAGGAGGAGGAGGAGGAGGAGGAGAUAGAUGAAGAGGGGUGGGGAGAGAUGGAGGAGGAAGAGGAAGAUGACUGGGAGAAUGAGGAGAAUGAAGAGACACCGAUCACCAGUGAGGAGGGUGAGUCACCUCCUCACUUAUCUGAGGAGGGCUCUGGGGAGUCAUGGACAGAGGAAGGUAUGGAUGUUGUGGGUGAGAGUCAACCCUCUGAGAGCCAGGCAAAACCAGCAGAGCAGGAGCUACGAGAGGAGCACCUUCUGAGCCCUUAGGCCUACAGUGGCACGCGUGCGCGUUCACACACAUACACGCACACGCACGCACACACACACACACACACACGCACACACACACACACACACACACACACACACACACAAAGCAGCUUUAUUAGUGUACCCUCUAAUUUCAUUCAAUCAUUUCAAACACAUUUCAAGUCUUAUCAAUCUCAUAUUGCCACACUUUCGAUGGGUUUAUGCAAACAUUUAGGUAAACCCUUUAUUGUGGUCUGGUAGAUCCCAACAUCAAAGCCUUUUCAUUUUAACCACUGUGAGCUGGAAUGUAUCCAAUAUAUGAAAUAAAUUUCUGUUUUGGUUUUUGACAUUUCUACUUUGUAUUUGUAAAAAAAAAAAGAAAAACUGUCAAAAAAUGAUAAAUUACAAAAACGAUAAAUGAUAUAUAACAAAAACGUUAUCUCUUUUCUUAAUGUGUCCCCCUCCCAAAAGAGUUUAACAUAUCUCCAGUCAGCCAAUUUGCCAUUUCUGGAUUUGAACGGUAGGAGAAACAUCGAUUUAUUUGAACCGUACUUUAACUGUACUAAUUAUAACUUAAAGCUCAAUGGAACACAGGUGAUUUUAGAAUUCAACUUUUUUAACUAUACUGCUCCCUUUACCCACUAGAGGGCGCUAACGUAUAAUUUAAAACGCUUUAAGCGUGAUUAUAGGCACCUUAAGAUAUCUGAACUCGAUAAACAUUAGAGGCGCAAGGGGGAGGACCAGUUCGGUAGUCUUCGUGCUAUGAUUGGUCGGAAUCUUAACAACAACCCGCCCCCGGAUUUUGUGUACGGAAUAUGAUUGGGUCAUACGAUAAAGAGCUCUAGAGUGCAAAGAUAGGUAACACACCGUCUAAACGAAAGGGGGACAAGAACUCUUAGUUCUAAUACAUUGACAAAAAAGUUUUCCGAAUUAAUUUAGGUCGCCACAGACACUUCUCAAAUAAACAUUUGGACCAGGGCUGCCAAGUUAUUUCUUUUGAAUCCUUGAUCAUUUUGUCCCUCUGGCCCCGCCCCUCUCACAGUUCCCGUACACAUGACCCACGUCACAUGACGUAGGGUCAUGAUACUUCCUGGUUCAGACAAACGGGCUGGCUUCACGGAACGGGGCUAUCU
rnacentral:lncRNA from 1 species